CUUUUACAACUCCAAGCUAUCUGAUUCGAUACAAGUUACACCGUACAUCAGACUAAUUCUCACCGGAUUUUAACCUUAUCUAGAAAAAAUGAAACCCUAAUUCAACCGAAUCUAACCUAAUACAUUAUAAUCUAACGAUAUACACUGCUGUGGCAAUCAGAAAACGAGUAACGUUGAAACAGUCUUGGGUGCAAUUUGAUCACUCGUGGAAUGGCGUUCCAGCUCGAGAGACCAUGGGUGUCGGUGUUGCUUGUGUAGUGGUCUCUUGCCUUGUGCUCGGAGCCAUAUAUAUAUAUUAGUGCCAAGUGUUUAGUUGUGAAGUGACUGAGAUCACCGGGGAGCCAUUUAAAAAAACCCUUGUAUGGUGAACCUGAUUAUGUUCACCGGUAGUUUUUGUGACGGAACUCGCGAACUGAUUUAUUAUGGUGUAAACAAACAGUUGAGAGUCUUCGUUUUAACAUUUCAUGCCCAAGAUGGCUGUUUGUGCUGCUUCUGACGUCACCCUCGAUCAGAGACAAAAGACGUCACAAUAACGUGGCUGAAAUGCUCGAUGGUCCUCCAUUGAUCUAGAGGGAAGAUGGAAGUCCUGACGGACAGCUAGAAGCCGGAGUGAGGCAACAAUCACUGUAUCCUUCAGCGCUCUCUACGAUUAAGGAGGAGCCUGAGAGUGAGGAUGACAGACACGAUUCCUAGCGAUUUCCUGGAAAAAGCGGAAGACUACCAACACACGGGUGAGAAAUGAAAGGUCGAGUAGCUGGGACGAGAAACUACCGAAAAAUUGUAACGCCAGACAUGCAAGGUCUAAAUCGCCAGUCUCAAAACGAAAACCCUCACCGGACCGACGCAAAAGGGCCGCACGCAUCAAAAUGGACAGGUGGUUACCUUGAGGUGCUUCCGGGGCUUAGCGUCCCCGCGGCCCGGUCGUCGACCAGGCCU
rnacentral:lncRNA from 1 species